rnacentral:rRNA from 1 species
UACGAAGGGGGCUAGCGUUGUUCGGAAUCAUUGGGCGUAAAGAGCGUGUAGGCGGCCAGAUAAGUCCGCUGUGAAAUCUCGAGGCUCAACUUCGAGCUGUCGGUGGAAACUGUCUGGCUAGAGUCCGGAAGAGGAGAAUGGAAUUCCUGGUGUAGCGGUGAAAUGCGCAGAUAUCAGGAAGAACACCCGUGGCGAAGGCGGUUCUCUGGGACGGUACUGACGCUGAGACGCGAAAGCGUGGGGAGCGAACAGG